rnacentral:rRNA from 1 species
AUUGCCUCAGUAACGGCGAGUGAAGCGGCAACAGCUCAAAUUUGAAAUCUGGCCUCUUUGGGGUCCGAGUUGUAAUUUGUAGAGGAUGUUUCGGGUACCGCCUCGGUUUAAAUUUCUUGGAACAGAAUGUCAGAGAGGGUGAGAAUCCCGUCUUGGACCGGCGGUAGGGCCCAUGUGAAACUCCUUCGACGAGUCGAGUUGUUUGGGAAUGCAGCUCAAAAUGGGUGGUAAAUUUCAUCUAAAGCUAAAUAUUGGCCAGAGACCGAUAGCGCACAAGUAGAGUGAUCGAAAGAUGAAAAGAACUUUGAAAAGAGAGUUAAACAGUAUGUGAAAUUGUUGAAAGGGAAGCGCUUGCAACCAGACUUGAGCGCGGCGGUUCCCCCUUCCUUUUGGUUGGGUUACUCCGCCGUGUCCAGGCCAACAUCGGUUCUGGGGGUCGGUUAAAGGCCCGGGGAAUGUACCUACUCCUUCGGGGGUAGACUUAUAGCCCCGGGUGUCAUGCGACCACCCGGGACCGAGGAACGCGCUUCGGCUCGGAUGUUGGCGUAAUGGUUGUCAGCGACCCGUCUUGAAACACGGACCAAGGAGUCUAACAUCUAUGCGAGUGUUUGGGUGUCAAACCCGGAACGCGAAAUGAAAGUGAACGGAGGUAGGAAGCCUUUGGGCUGCACUAUCGACCGAUCCUGAUGUCUUCGGAUGGAUUUGAGUAAGAGCAUAGCUGUUGGGACCCGAAAGAUGGUGAACUAUGCCUGAAUAGGGUGAAGCCAGAGGAAACUCUGGUGGAGGCUCGCAGCGGUUCUGACGUGCAAAUCGAUCGUCAAAUUUGGGUAUAGGGGCGAAAGACUAAUCGAACCAUCUGGUAGCUGGUUCCUGCCGAAGUUUCCCUCAGGAUAGCAGUAACGAAAUCAGUUUUAUGAGGUAAAGCGAAUGAUUAGAGGCCUUGGGGUUGAAACAACCUUAACCUAUUCUCAAACUUUAAAUAUGUAAGAAGCCCUUGUUGCUUAAUUGAACGUGGGCAUUUGAAUGUAUCGUUACUAGUGGGCCAUUUUUGGUAAGCAGAACUGGCGAUGCGGGAUGAACCGAACGUGAGGUUAAGGUGCCGGAAUGCACGCUCAUCAGACACCACAAAAGGUGUCAAUGCAUCUAGACAGCCGGACGGUGGCCAUGGAAGUCGGAAUCCGCUUAGGAGUGUGUAACAACUCACCGGCCGAAUGCAUUGGCCCUGAAAAUGGAUGGCGCUUAAGCGUGCUACCUAUACCUCGCCGUUAGGGUUGACAUGAUGCCCUAACGAGUAGGCAGGCGUGGAGGUCCGUGACGAAGC